UAUAUAUAUCAAUAAAUUAUGUAUGUAUGGGUGUCUGAAGAUCCAAGGAGGAUAAAUGUAGAGCACUCCAAAUUAACCGCACUGCACUUGGGAAAAGUAGUGUGUGCAUCGAUGUUCACUCAACAGGUUAAUGUAGGCCGCGAUGCAUUGCGAGCAGGAAAACAUGCCCCAAGCGCAAAUAUCAAAGCGAUACAGUUACUACACCUCAGAACUCAUUUGUUCAUUGAAUUGUAAAAAUAUGUGCAACAAAGGAAAUAAAAUACAGUAGUGUGUUUUUGUUUAUUUUUUAUUUUUUUGCAUGAUGAAAGAUCUUUCAAUCGGUUUGGUCGUGUCUUCAUUGAAAUUUGCAGACACAAUGUUUCUCUAGACUUCUGAGUUCAUUUUGCUGCUGUUCAGGAGUGUUAGUGAGCCUGACACCAGCUCACCCCUUUUCUGACAUCUUGAGCAGGUCCUUUCUGUCUCCGAACUUUAGUCCUUCCAUAAAGUAGACUGUAAAGUGUCUUUACUGUAAUUUUUGACUUUUCAAUUUUAAAGAGUAUGUUUUGGGCGCAAAAAAAAUACCUCUGCGCAGACCCUCACACUGUGCUCAUACUGAGAU